UACGUAGGGGGCGAGCGUUGUCCGAAGUUACUGGGCGUAAAGCGCACGUAGGCGGCACUGUAAGUUACAUUUGAAAUUUGACGGCUCAACCGUCAAAAGUGGUGUAAUACUGCAAGGCUAGAGGCAAACAGAAGAAUGUGGAACUCCGAGUGUAGCGGUGGAAUGCGUAGAGAUUCGGAAGAACACCCAUGGCGAAGGCAGCAUUCUGGGUUUGACCUGACGCUGAGGAGCGAAAGCCAGGGGAGCGAACGGG
rnacentral:rRNA from 1 species